CUUGGGGGGGGGGUGGUGGUCCCUCAGCCUGGAUUGCAAGAGGGAGAAGGUCAGGCCGAGGGACCCCACUGGUGCACA
rnacentral:pre_miRNA from 1 species